rnacentral:rRNA from 1 species
UCGGGAAUUUUGGGCAAUGGGCGAAAGCCUGACCCAGCAACGCCGCGUGAAGGAUGAAGUAUUUCGGUAUGUAAACUUCGAAAGAAUAGGAAGAAUAAAUGACGGUACUAUUUAUAAGGUCCGGCUAACUAUGUGCCAGCAGCCGCGGUAAUACGUAGGGACCAAGCGUUGUUCGGAUUUACUGGGCGUAAAGGGCGCGUAGGCGGCAAUUCAAGUCAUCUGUGAAAUCUCCGGGCUUAACUCGGAACGGUCAGAUGAUACUGGUUUGCUGGAGUGCAGAAGGGGCAAUCGGAAUUCUUGGUGUAGCGGUGAAAUGCGUGGAUAUCAAGAGGAACACCUGAGGUGAAGACGGGUUGCUGGGCUGACACUGACGCUGAGGCGCGAAAGCCAGGGGAGCAAACGGGAUUAGAUACCCAAGUAGUCCCUGAGCGGGCUGGCAAGGCGCAU